rnacentral:rRNA from 1 species
AAGUCGGGCCUGCCCACUGAGUAAUAGAGGAUUUCGGUAUUUUGACAGUGCAAAGGAGAAAAACUCGAUCGUGUUUUGUGUGCGGGCUUGUAUGAAUGGUUUCACGAAGGAUCAGCUGUCUCUUUAUUAUAUAUACAAUUUAUUCUGCGAGUCAAAAAACUACAAUAAACAUACCGGACGAGAAGACCCUAUAGAGCUUUAUAUAAUUGCAAGCUGUAUUUAUCAAAAGAAAAGUUUCUUAUAUUCUAAGUUAUAUUACGUUGGGGAGACAUAUGGAUAUAAUAAACUCUUUAUUUAUUUAAACAAAAAUUUAUGUAUACAUCAUCCAAUAUUAUAUAUUAAAAGAAAAAGUUACCAAAGGGAAAACAGCGUUUUCACUAGAGAGUUCUUAUCGAAAAAUAUGAUUGCGACCUCGAUGUUGGAUUAUGAGAAAGAGAAAAUGCAGAAGUUAUAUUAUUAUGUCUGUUCGACUUUAAAAUUCUUAC